UCUUCCCUCUCCUCUCCUUUCCUCGUAUCUUCCUCUCACUUUUCUUCUCUGCAAGCGGCAAGCCGGCCGGCAGGUGGGGAGGAGGUCGCCGGGGUGAGGCGGGAGAGGAGGAGGUGGCGGGCGACGAGGCGGCGGCGGUGGUGGUGGCUGCGACGCGGGAGGGGAGGCCGCGCCGCCGAGGGGAGGGCGGCGACGGAGGCGACGUGGCCACAGCAGGCAGCCGGAGCAGAGGAGGGCGCGGCGCGGCCACAAUAGGCUUCCAGAGGAGGGGAAGGCAUAGCGCGGCCACAGCAGGCGGCUAGAGGAGGGGAGGACGAGGCAGUGCUCCCUUCCCCUUCCUCCCUCCCCACUCCCAGAUCCGGCUGAAGGGAAUGACGGCGGCAACGGAGACGGCUCUCCCCUCCCAGGUCUCCCCCUUGUCUCCCUCCCUCUUAGAUCCGGUUGGAGGAGGGGAGGGUGGUGGUGGCGGCGUGGCUCCCUCCCUCCCAAAUCCAGCCGGAGGGUAGGGGGUGGCGGCAGUGGCAGUCAUAGUAGGCGACAGCGGUGCCGCAACCUUCCCUCCCCUUCCCUCACUCUCCUUCCCAAAACCCUAACCCUAGAUCUGACGCCCGAAGAAGGAGCCGGGGAGAGCGGCGGCGAUGUUUUUUUUUGUUCGAUGAGAAUGAUUAUCGCAUGCGGGUGUCUGACUGUCUGUGGCACCUUCAAAAAUAGAGAGGUCACCUGAGAAAAUCAUUUUUGCAAGCAGGACUGAUGUCUAUCUAUAAAAAUGGUGUAUUUUCCCAGCCUUGAAGUGUAAGUGGGGUGGAUGGCUACCUGGAAAAAUAUGUUUUGGCCGUUUGUAAAAAGUAUGUUUUCUAGUAGUGAUUUACAGAAGAUUGAUUUAUAGGGAAGGUGAACAUGUUGGUUAUGUUGGUGAGCUGACAGCAAGGGCUAUGACAAC